rnacentral:rRNA from 1 species
GAUGAACGCUAGCUACAGGCUUAACACAUGCAAGUCGAGGGGCAGCGGGAUUGAAGCUUGCUUCAAUUGCCGGCGACCGGCGCACGGGUGAGUAGCGCGUAUCCAACCUUCCGUACACUCAGGGAUAGCCUUUCGAAAGAAAGAUUAAUACCUGAUGGUAUGAUGAGAUUGCAUGAUAGCAUCAUUAAAGAUUUAUCGGUGUACGAUGGGGAUGCGUUCCAUUAGGUAGUAGGCGGGGUAACGGCCCACCUAGCCAACGAUGGAUAGGGGUUCUGAGAGGAAGGUCCCCCACAUUGGAACUGAGACACGGUCCAAACUCCUACGGGAGGCAGCAGUGAGGAAUAUUGGUCAAUGGACGAGAGUCUGAACCAGCCAAGUAGCGUGAAGGAUGAAGGUCCUACGGAUUGUAAAACUUCUUUUAUAAGGGAAUAAACCCUCCACGUGUGGGAGCUUGUAUGUACCUUAUGAAUAAGCAUCGGCUAACUCCGUGCCAGCAG